UACCAGCACCCCGAGUGGUCGGGACGAUUAUUUGGCCUAAAGCAUCCGUAGCCGGCCUUACAAGUCCUCCGUUAAAUCCAGCUGCUUAACAGAUGGGCUGCGGAGGAUACUAUAAGACUAGGAGGCAGGAGAGGCAAGCGGUACUCAGUGGGUAGGGGUAAAAUCCGUUGAUCCAUUGAAGACCACCAGUGGCGAAGGCGGCUUGCCAGAAUGCGCUCGACGGUGAGGGAUGAAAGCUGGGGGAGCAAACCGG
rnacentral:rRNA from 1 species